rnacentral:rRNA from 1 species
CGGCGAGUGAAGCGGGAACAGCUCAAGCUUGAAAUCUCCGUUCGUUAGAACGGCGAAUUGUAGCCUCGAGAAGUGUUUUCAAGCCGGAUGGGUCUUGCUCAAGUUGCUAGGAACAGCACAUCGUAGAGGGUGACAAUCCCGUACGCGGCAAGACCUACCGGUCGCGAUGCGCUUUCCAUGAGUCGGGUUGCUUGGGAAUGCAGCCCAAAAUGGGAGGUAAACUCCUUCUAAAGCUAAAUAUUGGCACGAGACCGAUAGCGAACAAGUACCGUGAGGGAAAGAUGAAAAGCACUUUGAAAAGAAAGUUAAUAGUACGUGAAACCGUUGGAAGGGAAGCGCAUGGAAUUAGCAAUGCACUGCAGAGAUUCAGACGAGUGACGGAGAUGCGCUGCGUUGUGUGGAUCCGAAUGGACCGCCUGCGUUCGUCUUCUUUGUCGUCCGCCGCAUUUCUCUGUGGUGUGCGUCAACAUCUGUUGGAACCCAACGACAAGCCUCGCAAGAAGGUGGCCGACCUCGGUUGGUGUUAUAGCUUGUGGUGUGCGAGUUGGGGUCCGACAGAGGAGUCGCGGCACAUGCUCUCUUUUGGGCUGGCCUCUCCUCUCUCAGUCGGUCGUCGACCAUAACGGACUGCUUGCAGUGCGAUUGAACUGCUGCUGGCUGUCGGGGGAUGAGUGCACACACUGUGCCAAGGUUGUUGGCGGUCAUAUGAUUUCAUACGACCCGUCUUGAAACACGGACCAAGGAGUCUGACAUGUGUGCGAGUCUUAGGGUGAUUGAAACCCGCAGGCGCAAUGAAAGUAAAGGCUGCUUCUGUAGCUGAAGUGAGAUCUCUCUUCCACGGGAGGGAGCGCAUCAUUGACCGACCUAUUCUACUCCUAGAAAGGUUUGAGUAAGAGCAUAUCUGUUGGGACCCGAAAGAUGGUGAACUAUGCUUGAGUAGGGCGAAGCCAGAGGAAACUCUGGUGGAGGCUCGUAGCGAUUCUGACGUGCAAAUCGAUCGUCAAACUUGGGUAUAGGGGCGAAAGACUAAUCGAACCAUCUAGUAGCUGGUUCCCUCCGAAGUUUCCCUUAGGAUAGCUGGAACUCGGAACAGUUUUAUCAGGUAAAGCGAAUGAUUAGAGGUCUUAGGGUUGAAACAACCUUAACCUAUUCUCAAACUUUAAAUUGGUAAGAAGCCCAACUUGCUUAAUUGAAGUAGGGCACAGAAUGAGAGUUCUUAGUGGGCCAUUUUUGGUAAGCAGAACUGGCGAUGCGGGAUGAACCGAACGCUGAGUUAAGGCGCCUAAAUCGACGCUCAUCAGACCCCACAAAAGGUGUUGGUUGAUCUAGACAGCAGGACGGUGGCCAUGGAAGUCGGAAUCCGCUAAGGAGUGUGUAACAACACACCUGCCGAAUCAACUAGCCCUGAAAAUGGAUGGCGCUCAAGCGUCGUGCCUAUACUCGGCCGUCAGAGUAAAUAGCGAAGCUCUGACGAGUAGGAGGGCGUGGGGGUCGUGGCGAAGCCUUUGGCGUGAGCCUGGGUGGAACGGCCUCUAGUGCAGAUCUUGGUGGUAGUAGCAAAUAUUCAAAUGAGAACUUUGAAGACCGAAGUGGAGAAAGGUUCCAUGUGAACAGCAGUUGGACAUGGGUUAGUCGAUCCUAAGAGAUAGGGAAACUCCGUUUCAAAGUGCCCAAUCCUGGGCCGUUUAUCGAAAGGGAAUCGGGUUAAUAUUCCCGAACCGGAACGCGGAUAUUCUAGCUUUGGUUAGAUUUGCGGUAACGCAACUGAACUCGGAGACGUCGGCAGGAGCCCUGGGAAGAGUUCUCUUUUCUUGUUAACGACCUGAAACCAUGGAAUCUGAUUAUCAGGAGAUAUGGUCCAAUGGUCGGUAAAGCACCACACUUCUUGUGGUGUCCGGUGCGCUCCUGAAGGCCCUUGAAAAUCCGAGGGAAAGAUUGAUUUUCGUGUCCGUUCGUACUCAUAACCGCAGCAGGUCUCCUAGGUGAGCAGCCU